AUCAGUUAACAAAUACUUUCUUUGGCAUAUGCUAUAAUAUUGUCUUAAUGCAAAAAAACACAAACUGAGCUGAUUAUACUGAAACAUGCCUUUAUAUGUUCUUAGUCAUUCUUUCACACACUGCACCUGAUUUUAAAUUUACAAAGUCUACUUGAAACAGAAACAUAUGUUGGCUUUGUUUUUUCUAUUCUCGCUUAUUAGGAAAGAUUCAGAUGAUAAGCAACAAAUGAAGACCUGACAAUGCAUUCAACAAAUUCUCAAAUUAAACAGGGCCAUGACAAUUCCCUGAAAUCUGUUCAGCUGGAUGUGUGGUUUGGGAGAGAUGAAGUCUCAGGAUUUCUGAAUUCUACUUUAAGAUGGAGGUAUGACUAAAAGAUUAUUCAUCUAGGAAUUCAUUGCUAGAAUAACCAACUUUUGGGCUUGAGACUAGACUUCAGCCUUGCUCCAAAUAAUACACGCAUUCUUGUUUUCCCCCAGAGCCUGAAAGCA
rnacentral:lncRNA from 1 species